rnacentral:misc_RNA from 1 species
AAUACCAUUAAGCCCCGUAGCUUAGCGUUGGGAGCCUCUGGCGCACCUGCACUCCUCAAAAAUAGUGGCGGAGUUAGCGUAUACUCUAGGCGUAGUAAUUUUUCACUCGCUUCUGUGUUGCCGUGGCGCGCGUGCGCGUAAAACAGGCCCAAUUUUUAAAGGUUUGACCUCGGAUCACGGUAGAAUAC